ensembl:snRNA U6 U6 spliceosomal RNA
GUGCUCACGUCAGCAGCACGUGUACUGAAACUGGAGCAAGACCGAGAAGAUUAGCACGGCCCCAGCGCAAGGACGACACGCAGCUUUGUGAAGCAUUUCAUAGGUUU